GACCUUGUGGCGCAACGGUAGCGCGUCUGACUCCAGACCAGAAAGUUGCGUGUUCAAAUCACAAAAUUA
rnacentral:tRNA from 1 species